UACGGAGGGUGCGAGCGUUGUCCGGAAUCAUUGGGCGUAAAGGGCGCGUAGGUGGCGGGACAAGCGUGCGGUGAAAGCCUGGGGCUCAACCCCGGGUCGGCCGUGCGAACUGUUUUGCUUGAGCACUGUAGAGGCAGGCGGAAUUCCGGGUGUAGCGGUGGAAUGCGUAGAGAUCCGGAAGAACACCGGUGGCGAAGGCGGCCUGCUGGGCAGUAGCUGACACUGAGGAGCGAAAGCAUGGGUAGCAAACAGG
rnacentral:rRNA from 1 species